rnacentral:rRNA from 1 species
AUGAAUGCUGGCGGCGUGGAUAAGGCAUGCAAGUCGCACGGUUUUUCUUUUCAAGGAGGUCGAGAUUACAUCAAGACCGACGAGAUUUGAAAGAUAGUGGCGAACGAGUUAGUAACGCCUUGGUAUGUACCCUUUGGUCUGGCAUAGCUCAUCGAAAGAUGGGGUAAUUCUAGAUAGUCUCGCAAGAGUAAAGCAGCAAUGCGCCAUUGGAGCAGCCUAGGUCCGAUCAGUUAGUUGGCGAGGUAAUGGCUCACCAAGACUAUGACCGGUAGGGGCACUGAGAGGUGGACCCCCAACGACGGCACUGAGACACGGGCCGUACACCUACGGGUGGCAGCAGCCGAGAAUAUUGGACAAUGGAGGAAACUCUGAUCCAGCCAUGCCGCGUGAGUGAUGAAGGCCUUCGGGUUGUAAAGCUCUUUCGGGUGUGAAAAUGAUGAUGGUAACACCAGAAGAAGCCCCGGCUAACUCCGU